UUCACUCAAUAAAUAGCCUUCAAGCCCCUACACCAAUUUCUUCCACCAGGAGACGUGGCAAUGCCUGAAGACAUUUCUGUUUGGCUCAGUGUGGCCUGGGAUGGGAGGUGGGGUGUGGCAUGCUCUGUCACCUAGCGGGCUGAUGGCAAGGUGAGGCAGACAUUCUAGAGUGCAUGGGAUAACUGCCCUGGAACACGAAGUAGCUGGUCCCACGUAUCAGUAGUGGUGUGGUGGAGAAACUGCCCUACUCAAUGCCUAGUGCAAGAGAUAUCAAGAUGAGACCCUGCCCACGGGAGACUCACAAUGAAGAUAUAUUUUCGAAAUCUUAUCUAUCCUGUUAAACAGACCCAGAAGCAUACUGGCUAUUUCCACCAGUUCCAAAUAUAGGAUGUGUGAAGGACACUUCCUCUGCCCAGCUGUUCGCCAUUUGCUCCUGUUGCCUUUGGAGAUGAUGCUUUAGGGUGCAUGCAAACAAAAAGGAGAAAGUCAAGGUCAUGUUUCAUUGGCUCUACAAUGACUAUGCACUGAUGGUGGAUUUAUCCAAAUAUUUAUAAUAUGCUGGAGACUGCUCAAACAGUUAGGCAGCUUGUCAAUUCUCUAAUGACUGAGGCAUCCUAAGUUUGGAAAGCGGAAGUCUAGUUGUCUCUGAGAGCUGAAGGGCAAGCACACACAUGUUGGUAUUUCGAUGGGAUUGGUACCAAAUAUUUAUUGAGCAACUACUACGAGCAGGACAAUUUAUGGGAAGAGGGAAAAAGUGCUAAAGAUAAAUAUAACAGAAUCAAGGUUUAAGUACAAAAAAAGGGAAGGAUUCCAGUUGGGUGAAUCAGGA